UACAUUUCAUUGGAUCGGUGUACCUAGGUUAUUGUCGAGGGAAGUUGGUGAGUCCUUGUGAAGAAGAAGGCAUGGGGUGUUGAGAGGAAAGAAAGAUCAAGAAGAAGGUGGGAAGAAGAGGUCAAAAACUGAGAGGGCAGGACCUAACCCGACCCGACCCACCUAAAAUUCCAAGCUUAGUCAAGGGGACACUUGAAGACUCGAUAAAGUUUUGGGAAAUCUACGAUCAGGAGAAAAGUAGAUCUGGGUUGGUGGCGGGGACGUAUGGAGUCGUGCAGCUGCAGAAGGAGACCCUUAGAUUGAGUCCUCUUCUCCCAUGUCGUUUUGGUUAUGAUUUUGACAUUUUUGGAAAACCUGCGAUAUUUUGUAACCUUUUAUUUUUAUAUGACUCCGCGGAUUUUCGUUAUGUAUUUUGUAGUAUUUUUUUAAAAUGUAUA